rnacentral:rRNA from 1 species
CCUACGGGUGGCAGCAGUAGGGGAUCUUUCACAAUGGGCGAAAGCCUGAUGGAGCAACGCCGCGUGCAGGAUGAAGCCCUUCGGGUUGUAAACUGCUGUUAUAAGCGAGAAAUAUGAUGGUAACUUAUGAAUAAGGAUCGGCUAACUACGUGCCAGCAGCCGCGGUCAUACGUAGGAGCCGAGCAUUAUCCGGAGUGACUGGGUGUAAAGAGUUGCGUAGGUGGCAUAAUAAGUAGCUAGUGAAAUCUGGUGGCUCAACCAUUCAGACUAUUAGCUAAACUGUUAAGCUCGAGACCGUUAGGGGUAACUGGAAUUUCUAGUGUAGGAGUGAAAUCCGUAGAUAUUAGAAGGAACACCGAUAGCGUAGGCAGGUUGCUGGGACGGUUCUGACACUAAGGCACGAAAGCGUAGGGAGCAAACGGGAUUAGAUACCCGAGUAGUC